rnacentral:lncRNA from 1 species
AGCAAAGGUGAUAAGUCUAGGACUUUUUAAUAAGGUCAUUACUCACACCCCUACCAUUAAUUUAUUUAUUAGUAUCACUUAUUUUUCUGAAGAAAAAAAAUGAAAAUAUUUAUUUUAUUUUAUUAUUAUUAUUUGUGAUACCAAAAACUAUUUUACGAUAAGAUUUGAAAUUAUUUUCUGAGACCACAAAGUCUUUAGUCUUACCACACUCACUAAAUAUGGACAGUAUUAAUCAUUUUCUUCUAUUGGCUUGUUUGGAUGGAUAUGCGGCGGAACAAGUAUUCUCCUGUCCCACACCAAAAUUGACGUGGUAUUGUUCGUAAAUGUGGGACAUUGAUUUGGUUUCUCUAAUAAUCAAUUGAUUCAUUCAAUGGUAAAGAAUUUGAGCCGC